rnacentral:rRNA from 1 species
CGCGAAAACUUUACCCUUUGGGAAACCGUGAUAAGGGGACACCGAGUGCCAGCAUCAUAUGCUGGCUGUCCGGGUGUGUAAAAUACACCCGUUAGCAAGGGCCGGGCAAGACCGGUGCCAGCCGCCGCGGUAACACCGGCGGCCCGAGUGGUGAUCGUGAUUAUUGGGUCUAAAGGGUCCGUAGCCGGUUUGGUCAGUCCUCCGGGAAAUCUGACGGCUCAACCGUUAGGCUUUCGGGGGAUACUGCCAGGCUUGGAACCGGGAGAGGUAAGAGGUACUACAGGGGUAGGAGUGAAAUCUUGUAAUCCCUGUGAGACCACCUGUGGCGAAGGCGUCUUACCAGAACGGGUUCGACGGUGAGGGACGAAAGCUGGGGGCACGAACCGGAUUAGAUACCCGGGUAGUCCCAGCCGUAAACGAUGCUCGCUAGGUGUCAGGCAUGGCGCGACCGUGUCUGGUGCCGCAGGGAAGCCGUGAAGCGAGCCACCUGGGAAGUACGGCCGCAAGGCUGAAACUUAAAGGAAUUGGCGGGGGAGCAC